UCCCUGAUGGCCUAGUGGUUAAGAAUCUGCCUGCCAAUGCAAGGGACCCAGGUUCGAUCCCUGGUCCGGGAA
rnacentral:tRNA from 1 species